AGCGUACACGGUGGAUGCCCUGGCAGUCAGAGGCGAUGAAGGACGUGCUAAUCUGCGAUAAGCGUCGGUAAGGUGAUAUGAACCGUUAUAACCGGCGAUUUCCGAAUGGGGAAACCCAGUGUGAUUCGUCACACUAUCAUUAACUGAAUCCAUAGGUUAAUGAGGCGAACCGGGGGAACUGAAACAUCUAAGUACCCCGAGGAAAAGAAAUCAACCGAGAUUCCCCCAGUAGCGGCGAGCGAACGGGGAGCAGCCCAGAGCCUGAAUCAGUGUGUGUGUUAGUGGAAGCGUCUGGAAAGGCGCGCGAUACAGGGUGACAGCCCCGUACACAAAAAUGCACAUACUGUGAGCUCGAUGAGUAGGGCGGGACACGUGGUAUCCUGUCUGAAUAUGGGGGGACCAUCCUCCAAGGCUAAAUACUCCUGACUGACCGAUAGUGAACCAGUACCGUGAGGGAAAGGCGAAAAGAACCCCGGCGAGGGGAGUGAAAAAGAACCUGAAACCGUGUACGUACAAGCAGUGGGAGCCUCUUUAUGGGGUGACUGCGUACCUUUUGUAUAAUGGGUCAGCGACUUAUAUUCUGUAGCAAGGUUAACCGAAUAGGGGAGCCGAAGGGAAACCGAGUCUUAACUGGGCGUUAAGUUGCAGGGUAUAGACCCGAAACCCGGUGAUCUAGCCAUGGGCAGGUUGAAGGUUGGGUAACACUAACUGGAGGACCGAACCGACUAAUGUUGAAAAAUUAGCGGAUGACUUGUGGCUGGGGGUGAAAGGCCAAUCAAACCGGGAGAUAGCUGGUUCUCCCCGAAAGCUAUUUAGGUAGCGCCUCGUGAAUUCAUCUCCGGGGGUAGAGCACUGUUUCGGCAAGGGGGUCAUCCCGACUUACCAACCCGAUGCAAACUGCGAAUACCGGAGAAUGUUAUCACGGGAGACACACGGCGGGUGCUAACGUCCGUCGUGAAGAGGGAAACAACCCAGACCGCCAGCUAAGGUCCCAAAGUCAUGGUUAAGUGGGAAACGAUGUGGGAAGGCCCAGACAGCCAGGAUGUUGGCUUAGAAGCAGCCAUCAUUUAAAGAAAGCGUAAUAGCUCACUGGUCGAGUCGGCCUGCGCGGAAGAUGUAACGGGGCUAAACCAUGCACCGAAGCUGCGGCAGCGACACUAUGUGUUGUUGGGUAGGGGAGCGUUCUGUAAGCCUGCGAAGGUGUACUGUGAGGUAUGCUGGAGGUAUCAGAAGUGCGAAUGCUGACAUAAGUAACGAUAAAGCGGGUGAAAAGCCCGCUCGCCGGAAGACCAAGGGUUCCUGUCCAACGUUAAUCGGGGCAGGGUGAGUCGACCCCUAAGGCGAGGCCGAAAGGCGUAGUCGAUGGGAAACAGGUUAAUAUUCCUGUACUUGGUGUUACUGCGAAGGGGGGACGGAGAAGGCUAUGUUGGCCGGGCGACGGUUGUCCCGGUUUAAGCGUGUAGGCUGAUUUUCCAGGCAAAUCCGGAAAAUCAAGGCUGAGGCGUGAUGACGAGGCACUACGGUGCUGAAGCAACAAAUGCCCUGCUUCCAGGAAAAGCCUCUAAGCAUCAGGUAACAUCAAAUCGUACCCCAAACCGACACAGGUGGUCAGGUAGAGAAUACCAAGGCGCUUGAGAGAACUCGGGUGAAGGAACUAGGCAAAAUGGUGCCGUAACUUCGGGAGAAGGCACGCUGAUAUGUAGGUGAAGCGACUUGCUCGUGGAGCUGAAAUCAGUCGAAGAUACCAGCUGGCUGCAACUGUUUAUUAAAAACACAGCACUGUGCAAACACGAAAGUGGACGUAUACGGUGUGACGCCUGCCCGGUGCCGGAAGGUUAAUUGAUGGGGUUAGCGGUAACGCGAAGCUCUUGAUCGAAGCCCCGGUAAACGGCGGCCGUAACUAUAACGGUCCUAAGGUAGCGAAAUUCCUUGUCGGGUAAGUUCCGACCUGCACGAAUGGCGUAAUGAUGGCCAGGCUGUCUCCACCCGAGACUCAGUGAAAUUGAACUCGCUGUGAAGAUGCAGUGUACCCGCGGCAAGACGGAAAGACCCCGUGAACCUUUACUAUAGCUUGACACUGAACAUUGAGCCUUGAUGUGUAGGAUAGGUGGGAGGCUUUGAAGUGUGGACGCCAGUCUGCAUGGAGCCGGCCUUGAAAUACCACCCUUUAAUGUUUGAUGUUCUAACGUUGGCCCCUGACCGGGGUUGCGGACAGUGUCUGGUGGGUAGUUUGACUGGGGCGGUCUCCUCCUAAAGAGUAACGGAGGAGCACGAAGGUUGGCUAAUCCUGGUCGGACAUCAGGAGGUUAGUGCAAUGGCAUAAGCCAGCUUGACUGCGAGCGUGACGGCGCGAGCAGGUGCGAAAGCAGGUCAUAGUGAUCCGGUGGUUCUGAAUGGAAGGGCCAUCGCUCAACGGAUAAAAGGUACUCCGGGGAUAACAGGCUGAUACCGCCCAAGAGUUCAUAUCGACGGCGGUGUUUGGCACCUCGAUGUCGGCUCAUCACAUCCUGGGGCUGAAGUAGGUCCCAAGGGUAUGGCUGUUCGCCAUUUAAAGUGGUACGCGAGCUGGGUUUAGAACGUCGUGAGACAGUUCGGUCCCUAUCUGCCGUGGGCGCUGGAGAACUGAGGGGGGCUGCUCCUAGUACGAGAGGACCGGAGUGGACGCAUCACUGGUGUUCGGGUUGUCAUGCCAAUGGCACUGCCCGGUAGCUAAAUGCGGAAGAGAUAAGUGCUGAAAGCAUCUAAGCACGAAACUUGCCCCGAGAUGAGUUCUCCCUGACUCCUUGA
rnacentral:rRNA from 1 species